AUGGCGGCGGCGGCGCAGAGGCUCCUCGCGGCGAGCACGAAGAUCGUCGGGGUCGGGCGGAACUACGUCGCCCACGCCAAGGAGCUCGGCCACCCCGUCCCCAAGGAGCCGGUGCUGUUCCUCAAGCCGACCUCGUCGUUCCUCCACGCGGGCGUGGCCACCACCGCCGUCGAGGUGCCCGAGCCGCUCGAGUCGCUGCACCACGAGGUCGAGCUCGCCGUCGUCAUCUCACGGCGCGCGCGCGACGUGCCCGAGGCCUCCGCCAUGGACUUCGUCGGAGGUUAUGCUCUUGCUUUGGACAUGACAGCAAGGGACCUUCAGUCUGUAGCUAAGUCUGCAGGUCUUCCUUGGACUUUGGCUAAAGCACAGGAUACCUUUACUCCAAUUAGUGCAGUGGUCCCAAAAUCAGCUGUCCCUAAUCCUGAUGAUCUAGAACUCUGGCUAAAGGUGGACGAUGAACUUAGGCAGAAAGGGCCUACAAGUGAUAUGAUAUUCAAGGUUCCUUUUCUAAUCAGUUAUAUCAGUUCGAUCAUGACGUUGAUGGAGGGUGAUGUGAUAUUAACCGGAACUCCUGAGGGUGUAGGCCCUGUCCGAAUAGGGCAGAAGAUCAAAGCUGGUAUAACUGGUCUCAUCGAGGCCGAGUUUGAUGUUCAGAGGCGCAGUCGGACAUUUUCUCCCUGA
rnacentral:rRNA from 1 species